GACGAACGCUGGCGGCGUGCUUAACACAUGCAAGUCGAACGGAAAGGCCCUGCUUUUGUGGGGUGCUCGAGUGGCGAACGGGUGAGUAACACGUGAGUAACCUGCCCUUGACUUUGGGAUAACUUCAGGAAACUGGGGCUAAUACCGGAUAGGAGCUCCUGCUGCAUGGUGGGGGUUGGAAAGUUUCGGCGGUUGGGGAUGGACUCGCGGCUUAUCAGCUUGUUGGUGGGGUAGUGGCUUACCAAGGCUUUGACGGGUAGCCGGCCUGAGAGGGUGACCGGCCACAUUGGGACUGAGAGACGGCGCAGACUCCUACGGGAGGCAGCAGUGGAGAAUAUUGCACAAUGGGCGGAAGCCUGAUGCAGCAACGCCGCGUGCGGGAUGACGGCCUUCGGGUUGUAAACCGCUUUCGCCUGUGACGAAGCGGGAGUGACGGUAAUGGGUAAAGAAGCACCGGCUAACUACGUG
rnacentral:rRNA from 1 species